rnacentral:rRNA from 1 species
GACCCCUCGCAAGCGGUGGAGCAUGCUGUUUAAUUCGAUGCAACGCGAAGAACCUUACCUAGAUUUGACCUUCUACAACUUUCUUUGAAAAAAGGAUUUAUCAGUCUUCUUCGGGAGCAGUAGAUACAGGUGGUGCAUGGCUGUCGUCAGUUCGUGUCGUGAGAUGUCGGGUUAAGUCCUAGAAACGAACGUAACCCUUGUUUUUCGUUGCGAAAUAACGGAAAUUUUUGCCAUUGUUCAGUUAGUUCGGUGCCUAAAAAUACGGCCAGCGAUCAAGUUUGGAGGAAGGAGAGGAUGACGCCAAGUCAGUAUGCCCCAUAUGUCUAGGGCUACAAGCGUGCUACAAUGGUCAAGACAAAAAGUUACGAGCUUGUGAAAGUAAGUGAAUCUUAAAACUUGGUCUGAAGUUCGGAUUGUAGGCUGCAACUCGGCUACAUGAAGUUGGAAUCGCUAGUAA